rfam:Populus trichocarpa scaffold_5_contig_144, whole genome shotgun sequence.
UCUGAAACUCCAAAUAUAGGUUGAACAUUGAAAAGUGCUUGGGUUACAGGACAAAUGUAGACUUUUGUUUUUUGUUGCUAAGACUUCAACUUAAAAAUGAAAGUAUCAAGUCUUGGGCUCUUCAUGAAUACAAGCCUAUUUCUUAGCUUUCCAUA